GACGAACGCUGGCGGCGUGCUUAACACAUGCAAGUCGAGCGGUAAGGCCCUUUCGGGGGUACACGAGCGGCGAACGGGUGAGUAACACGUGGGUGACCUGCCCUCAGCUCUGGGAUAAGCCUGGGAGACCGGGUCUAAUACCGGAUAUGACUCCAUGACGCAUGUUGUGGGGUGGAAAGCCUUGUGCGGCUGAGGAUGGGCCCGCGGCCUAUCAGCUUGUUGGUGGGGUGAGGCCUACCAAGGCGACGACGGGUAGCCGGCCUGAGAGGGCGACCGGCCACACUGGGACUGAGACACGGCCCAGACUCCUACGGGAGGGCAGCAGUGGGGAAUCUUGCGCAAUGGGCGAAAGCCUGACGCAGCGACG
rnacentral:rRNA from 1 species